GGAGCAAACAGGAUUAGAUACCCUGGUAGUCCACGCCGUAAACGAUGUCUACUUGGAGGUUGUGCCCUUGAGGCGUGGCUUCCGGAGCUAACGCGUUAAGUAGACCGCCUGGGGAGUACGGCCGCAAGGUUAAAACUCAAAUGAAUUGACGGGGGCCCGCACAAGCGGUGGAGCAUGUGGUUUAAUUCGAUGCAACGCGAAGAACCUUACCUGGUCUUGACAUCCACAGAAGAAUCCAGAGAUGGAUUUGUGCCUUCGGGAACUGUGAGACAGGUGCUGCAUGGCUGUCGUCAGCUCGUGUUGUGAAAUGUUGGGUUAAGUCCCGCAACGAGCGCAACCCUUAUCCUUUGUUGCCAGCGAUUAGGUCGGGAACUCAAAGGAGACUGCCAGUGAUAAACUGGAGGAAGGUGGGGAUGACGUCAAGUCAUCAUGGCCCUUACGACCAGGGCUACACACGUGCUACAAUGGCGCAUACAAAGAGAAGCGACCUCGCGAGAGCAAGCGGACCUCAUAAAGUGCGUCGUAGUCCGGAUUGGAGUCUGCAACUCGACUCCAUGAAGUCGGAAUCGCUAGUAAUCGUGGAUCAGAAUGCCACGGUGAAUACGUUCCCGGGCCUUGUACACACCGCCCGUCACACCAUGGGAGUGGGUUGCAAAAGAAGUAGGUAGCUUAACCUUCGGGAGGGCGCUUACCACUUUGUGAUUCAUGACUGGGGUGAAGUCGUAACAAGGUAACCGUAGGGGAACCUGCGGUUG
rnacentral:rRNA from 1 species